CCCUUAGAUGUUCUGGGCCGCACGCGCGCUACACUGAUGCAUUCAACGAGCCUAUCCUUGACCGACAGGUCCGGGUAAUCUUUGAAUCUGCAUCGUGACGGGGAUAGAUUAUUGCAAUUAUCAAUCUUCAACGAGGAAUGCCUAGUAGGCGCAAGUCAUCAGCUUGCGUCGAUUACGUCCCUGCCCUUUGUACACACCGCCCGUCGCUCCUACCGAUUGGGUGUGCUGGUGAAAUGUUCGGAUCGGCCGUUUGUCGCGGUUUCCGCGUCAUGUGGCUGAGAAGUUCAUUAAACCCUCCCACCUAGAGGAAGGAGAAGUCGUAACA
rnacentral:rRNA from 1 species